GCGGCAGGCCGCUUUAUCGCUGCUUCGGUUAAACGGGGCAGAGGAAAGUCCGGGCAACGCAGGGCGCCGUGUUUCCUAGCGGGAAGGUCUUUGAAAGGGGACAGCAACGUAACAGAAAAUAACCACCUUGUUGUGGCGUGUCCACGACGGGGAACGGGUGAAAAGGUGCGGUAAAAGCGCACCGGUGAUGGUGGUAACAUCGUCAGCCGUACGUCUCACGGGUUGCAAGGCCAUGUAUAUCCAAAGUGUUUGCCGCUGUUGCGGUACAGCAAAACGGCCCGUUUUGUUCUCAACGCACAAGAGACUUUGGAGGGGUAGGCUGCAGGAUUCCGACAGUGAUGUCGGGACUAGAUAAAUGAUAAAGGCUUUUCGUUUGUUUUCGGAUGGAUGGAAGAGUACAGGACCCGGCUUACAGGCCUGCCACUAUU
rnacentral:RNase_P_RNA from 1 species